UAAUGACAAACCCAGUGGUGGGUUUCGUAGUGGUUAUGGUGGUGCUGGUGGUGGUGGCGGCGGCAGCGGUAGUUUUGGUGGUGGUGGUCGAUACUCAGGCCAAGGUGACUUUUGAGGAGACUCGUGCGCCAGAGAUUUUUAUAUUACCUGUCAAUUUCUAUUGGGAUGCUGCUUGACUUUUUCCUUUUUUUUUUUGUUUCGCUGUUUUCUUUGAGUAUGCCAAGUAUAAUGUUUUCUAUGGAAUUGUUAAAACUGUUUGUGGACCCCAAACUGAUAACAUCUAAGUAAUUUAUUAUGGUGAGUUAACCUCUUAUCUGUGUGCUAAUGAGGUAUUGUGGGAUGAUUAUUUCCAUUUGCGCUUCAUUCGCUUUUCCCUUUUGUGAUUUUAUUGUACAUAAUCAGUAUAACGGUGUGAACCAAAAAUUCUGUGUCUGAAUGAACAAAAGUGAUCUACAAAUCUACAGCAUUUAUGUAGUGUGCUGUUGGUUGAAUUUCGGAUCAGUUAUUGUGGGGGGCCUUAUUACAAAGUCUCUGGCAGUCUCAGGACCUUCAGUAGAGUGUUGCUGUGACCAGCGUCCGCUGUCACCAGGCCCGGUAGAUUGGUGGGCCGUUUGAAGGGCCAUUCGUUUGGUGGGCCGUUUGUGGUAAAGGCCUAAUAGCUUGUAGGCCACUAGGUUGGAGUGUUUGUUGGCCCAAUGGUUUGAUGGGCUGUUUGUGGGGCCUAUCGUUUGAUGGGCCAUUGCAGGCCCAAUCGUUUGGCGGGCAGUCUGUAGGCCCAAUAAUUCGCGUCGGCUGUUGGUGGCCCAAUAGUUGCAUGGACCGUUAGUCGGCCCAGUUGUUAGGUGGGCUGCUGUUAGGCCCAUUAGAUUGGUCGGCCGUUUCGAGGCCCUUAGUUCAAUUUAAUGGCCGUUUUUAGGCCCAUUUGUUCGGAGGGCCCCUGGUAGGCCCAAUAAUUUAUUGGGCCGUAUGGUUAGUACUUAGGUAGGCCGGUAUUAUUAGAUGGCACUUUUUAGGGCUACUAUUUUGGUAGGCCGUUAUAUGCCCGUAGUUUGAUGGGCCACUAUUAGGCCUAUUAAUUCGGUGGGUCCGUUAUUACGCCCAAUAGUGCGGUGGGCCGUUAGUAGGCCCAAUUAGUUGUUCGGCCGUUGGUAGGGCCAACAUUUUGUUGCUUGUAGGCCCAAUAGUUGCAUAGGCCAUUAUUACGGUCCAAAAUUGAGGUGGGCCGUUAGUAGCCCAAUAUUUCGCUGGGCCUUUAGUAGGCCCAAUAGUUCGUUGGGCCGUUAAGAGACCCAAGGCCUAUAGUUGAAAGGGCGGAAAAUAUUUUAAUCCGACUGUUUGUGGGCCGAAUUUUGCAGAUAGGCCCAAACUUUUGUAGAGCGUUGUUGCAUCGGACUAAAACAACAAAUUUUCAUUGAAUUUCUUUGCUUAUCCUGACAUUUUAUACAUAGAAAAAGAGCUCGAUCCCGAGAUAAAUUGGCUAAAAACACCACACCUGGCGACCAUGUUACAUCACAGAUCUACUACACAUUUCAAGAAUUCUUGUGUCAAACCAAUAAAACACAUCCAAUUGUUACAAAGGGAGUGCGCGGGCCUUCCCUAUCAAAAUAAAAUUAAAAUGUAGUAAAGCUUUGCGCACGCUCGGUAACCAAAGUUUGACCAUCAUAAUCUCUAUAGUUUUCCACUCUGUCGGUGAGGACAACUUCAGCUGCACUCAUUUUUGCUUUUGAGUCAUGGAUGACUGCAACAACAUACACGGGAGCCUUUUGUCUGCAAAAAGAGAAUCCUCGCUUGCUAUUUGUUUAAAUGCCUAUUUCCGAUGCUUCCUUUUCACUUCAGCUCUUUGCCGCUUUUCUUCUUCCCACUCUCUUUCAUGUAUUCUAUAGUAUUGAUAGGUCAAGGAAAUAAGCUCUAAAAUAUAAUAUAUGCACAAAAAAAAAAUUUAAAGAAAAACGGAGAUAGCACAUACUNUUUUUUUUUUUUUUCCUUUUUUGGGGGUGGUUUGUUGUUGUAAUGGGUAAGUUGUCGCGCAUGCAACCUUGUGAAAUAUAUUUGCGUGCAUAGUAAAUAUCUGGUAAACUAUUUAGAUAAUAAUACAAAUGAUAAAUAAUAAAGGAAAAACUAAUAUUGGAUUUAAGUUGUGAGCUCACCACAUACUAUAGUACCAUGUUCACCAAAUAGUUAUUAAAUGUGGGACCCACUUGUCAGCCCCAAGACACAGUGAAGGAGUGAAAAUUGGAGUCUGAGGGUAAUUCCGUAAUUUCGCUCGUGCCAGGCUGUGAGCCUGUGACCCACCCACAACUGCUAUAAAAAUAUUAAAAUAAUUUGAAAUAAGUUAUUUUUUGGCCUUUUUGCAUAAAAAAUCAACUUAUUUUGGGCUUUUGUAAAAUCGGGUCACCUUUUUCGUUUUUGCAGAUUUGGUCCGCUUUUUCAGCAAACUGACCAAAAUACCCUUAUUACUUUUUCUCUUUCCUCUUUCUCUCUCCUCUUCUUUUCUGUCGUUGACUUUUUUUCCCGAAAAAAAAAGGACGUUCGCUUUUCUUCUACCGUCGCUCCGUCACAUCCUUCCAUUCACCGCGCCUCUCUACCUCUCUCUCCACACUGCGACCCCACUUCUCCUCCUCGCCACGUCGGACCAGCCACUCCGUGCCGCCGGACGGCGCGCCGGCACGCGGCGUGUGGAUGGAGAGAAGACAAUAGAGCGAAGAAGAAUGAACAGGGGAGCGAAGCGCACGCGCGCAGGAGCGGGAGGCGAAGCGAACCGGCCGGCACCAGCGGAGGCCGUGUUCUUCUUGUCACGUGGCCUUCUCCGCCGGAGAAGCCGCGCCAGCGCUUGCUCUCCCACGCUACGUCGGAGACGCCGCUGUCUGCCGCGGCACGCGAUCGUCGUGCAGCGACCGGCCGAACGUCGAAAGGUCGAACUGUUUUUAUUUAAAUGCCUCUUUAACAAAUAGUUAUGCUUCUCUAUGUGUUGAAUGUUUUUCUUGUUGCACUGUUUUCUCUUUAAAGAGGAGAAAACAGUGCCACAGAGGAGAACAUAUAAAUAUCUUUUAAAUGGGUGCAGGUAGAUACAUGGAUGCAGUUUUUUUGCUGGUGCCAUUUCUCUUGGUUAUAUGUUUUUUUUUAAACUACAAUCUUAAGAAUAUUUAUACUGCCUUCUCCUCUUGUUGCACGGUCUCUCUUGUUGUCAAUGUUUCUCCUCUAGAGGUCAAACAGUUGCAACAAGAGGGAGAACAGUGCAACAGAGGAGAGCAGUAUUAAAUAUCUCUUAAUGGGUGAGUUAGAUAAGGUCGUCAGUUUUUUCUUGUUGCACCAUUUCUCCUAUUGUUUAUACUAGUUUUUAUUUUAAUAAAUCUUUAUGAGAUAUUUAUAAUGUUCUCUCUUGUUGCACUGUUUCUAUCUUUAUAAGGGAGAACAGGUCAACAAGAGGAGAAGCAGAGUAUAAAUAUCUUCUUAAAUGGGUGCAGUUUAAGAUAAUGGGCUACAAUUUUUUUUCUUGUGCACCUAUUUCUCCUUUGUUACAUGUUUUUUAUUUUAAAUACAUAUCUUUAAAGAUGAUUUAUACUGCUUCUCUCUUGUUGCACUGCUUUCUCCUCUUAAAGAGGUUAACAGUUGCAAAGAGGAAAGGAACAGUUGCAACAUUAUGAGAGCGAUAAUAUAUCUCUUAAAUAGGUGGCCAGUUAAGAUAAAAAUAGUGUAACAGAGAGAAUGGUGCAAAAUGAGAGAGAAGAAGAUAACGUGCCAAGAGAAUAAACAGUACAACUUUUAUUUAAGAGUGUCUUUAUCUUAGUGGGUGAGUUUAUAUCUGAAAUGAGUGCAAUACGAAGAGAACAGUUAUAUUUUCAAGGUUAAUUUUGUUUAAAAAGUGUAAUUUUAUCUUAAGCUCAGUUUACAUCUUAGUAGUGCUUGUAAUUUCUUUUGUAGUUACGAUACAUUUCUCUUCUCAUUUUUUUAAUUAAGAUUUUUUUAUCUUUAUUUUUUCUGGUGUUUUUUUUUUUAUUUUUGAUCACCUCUUGUACAUAGCCACAUGGCGUGAACGCCGCUAAAGACCCGAAAUCCAGGUUACAGCGCGAGAUUCUCCACCGGGUGCAGGCGCGCCAGGUGUCGCUAAGAAUGCAUUCGUGUCAGAGCAGCAGAGAGUGAGGGAGAGAAGAGAGAUGAAGAAGGGCAGAGAGCGAGAGAUGCGCGGUCGUCGGGGAAACUAUGAGCGGGAUGUCAGAGAAGAAAAGAAAAGAAAAAUGCAAAAAAAAAAAAAGUCACAGCCCGGCCUUGGAGGGAUCGGAGGCGAGAAAGGUGGGGGCGCCGGCGGCGACGCCGCUCUGUCUUCGCCGCUCUCUGGGAAGAGAAAGAAAAAAAAGAACGAGAGAAAAAAGAGAAAAGAAAAGGUAUAAGGGCACCUCCGCUCCGUCUUCGCCGCUCUCUGGGAAGAAAAAGAAAAAAGAACGAGAGAAAAAAAAGAGGAGAGAGAAAGAGGAAAGAGAAAAAUGUAUAAGGGUAUUUUGGUCAGUUUGCUGAAAAAGCGGACCAAAUCUGCAAAAACCAAAAAAAUGGCCCGAUUUUGCAAAAGCCCAAAAUAAGUGGAUUUUUUAUGCAAAUUGGCCUUAUUUUUUUAAAAAAAUGGCCCUUCGAGAUAUUUUCGUGCUGAGUCAGCAUCAUUUGUGGUUUGGCUAAACCCUAGCCGCCUCUCCCCCUUCUUUCUCUCUCUCUCUCUCUCAAACCCUACAAAAAACCCUAGUCUCCGCGCCCCCUUUCUCUCUCUCUCAAACCCCACAACAAAAACCCUAAUCACCACUCCUAUCUCUCUCUCUCUCUCUCUCUCUCCGAGGUGUCGAAAUGUAAGAUCUCUAACGCCUUUUUCUUCUAAUAAUGUCUAUAAUAAUAAUAAUAAUAAUAAUAAUCUGUUUCGAUUUUGUUCUCCAAUGGUGAAAGGUCAAAUGGUUUCUUGGUGUUUUUUUAAUAUAUAUUUGUUUUUCCUUGUCUUUUCGACGAUUUCAUUAUGUGCUGUGAUAUUUUACUCUGGUGUUAGAUUCAUUUGUAAACGGAUGCUUUGUUUACUAUCUUCGUCUCUUUUACGGUGCCUUUUGUAGUUGUUGGGUAUUCGUGCAAUUUUUACCCAAUAAAUCUAACUACAGAUGAUUUAGUCUGUGUUUGAGGGAGGGAAAAAGGCUCACGAUUACAUCAUAUUAAGUAGUUUGAUAGAGUUGAGGUUUGAAUAGAUCCCUAUGGGAGUUUAGUAGCUGGAUUUUUGUCUAAUUUCUUGAACACAAACUGUUAUUCUCAUCGCUAAAUGCCUGAAUUAAAUUAAAGUUUUCUGGGUUUAAAUUUGUGAAAAUGCCUUUUUUUUUUUGCCGUUUUUGAAGAAUUUUACUUAACAAUUUGUGGUUUGUGGAUGCGUAAGUUUAUAAGCUGCAGUAUGAGGUUUUAUAUCAAGCUUAUUAUGCAGAGAUUAGAUAUCAAGAAUGUCUUGUCUAUGGGCUUUGUUACAAGUAGGCUAUCAUUGGGCUUUCAAAAUUCAAUUAAUCAAAGAUCGAGCUUUUGUGUUGUCUUGUUGAUCGUAAUAUAGCUUUACUUAUGUUGUUGCUAUCUACAUGAGUUUGGUAAGCAGUAGAAUGUUGAGUACUUGAGAUUGAUGAAUAGAUGGUGGUCCUGCUUGUCAUAAUUUUUGAAUCUCUGUUUGUUAUGAUUCCUUUAUUACAAGUCUUGUGGGAACAAAUUAGCUUGUGUACCUUUUAAUAUGCUUGGAGUGGUUCUAUUUUAUGUGACAAGCCAAUUGUUUGUGGAUCUAUGUUCUCUUUGUUGUCAUUUAAAGGCGAACAAAACAUAGUUACUUUGGUAAUAUUUUCGGUGUGAUGAUUAAACAACUUGUGAAAUGCUAUUUUUCAGCAGAAUUAAACCAUUUUAGAUGGCAUUUUGUAACAAGAUCGGCAGCCUGAUUAGGCAGGGGGCUUUGAUGAAUAACGGACCAGUUCCGGCAAUGCAUCUGCUUAAUUCCAUGCGCUAUAUGUCAUCGACAAAACUUUUCAUUGGAGGUAAGAUGUGUUUCUUGCCCUAGCUUCAAAGAUAGGUCCCUUUAAAAGUGGAAUAUUUAGCACCUUUCUUCGUUUUAUCAGGUCUUUCCUAUGGCACUGAUGACCAAUCACUUAAAGAGGCAUUCAACUGCUUUGGAACUGUCACUGAAGGUUAGUAAUCAGCACUCUGCAAUUCUUUGCACAUACAAACUUUUAAGAAAUUAACUUGCGUAUCAGAAUUUUGUAUGUAGAACAUAUUACCAUUUAUAUCUCAUAUGAAUGGAUAAUCUUUGUUGUUUUAAAUUUUUUUGUAUUUGCUAUCUUUUAGAAGCAUAAAUGGAUGUAUAAAAUAUAUCCAUGCCAUAUGCUCAUUUGUUCUGAACAAUUUGUUAUCAUCCAGCGCGGGUUAUAACCGACAGAGACACUGGAAGGUCAAGGGGGUUCGGAUUCAUAAACUUCGACAGUGAUGAAGAUGCCAAAACAGCCAUGUCUAGCAUGGAUGGCCAGGUUUGACCUUUUUUUUAUCUCCACCUCCCGAAAGUCUUAUCUUUUAUUGUUAUUCCAGUAAUUACCUACUUUGGGUUAUUAAAUGUGGGCCUGCAUUGCAAGAAGUGGCUCCCUCUCUUAAACCUUUGCAUUCCCUAGCAAUCUUACCCUUUUCCAUAAAUUCCUUGGUUAAUAUGGAUCGAAAGUGCCCACAUGGUGGUUAUGCUAAAGAGUUUGCCGCAGUUUUCUGUUUUUUUUGGUUGAUUUCGCUGAUACAAACUUUUCCUUGUAUAGCUGGACGUUGAUUGCAAUUAUCCUAAUUACAGAAUUAUGAUGUUAUGGUGAGUUUUGUUGCAUAUUGAGUGGUUUGGUUGUCAUUUUUUGUUUGCAGGAAUUGCAUGGCCGGAAUAUCCGCGUAAGCUUUGCUAAUGACAAACCCAGUGGUGGGUUUCGUAGUGGUUAUGGUGGUGGUGGUGGUGGCGGCAGCGGUAGUUUUGGUGGUGGUGGUGGUCGAUACUCAGGCCAAGGUGACUUUUGAGGAGACUCGUGCGCCAGAGAUUUUUAUAUUACCUGUCAAUUUCUAUUGGGAUGCUGCUUGACUUUUUCCUUUUUUUUUUUGUUUCGCUGUUUUCUUUGAGUAUGCCAAGUAUAAUAUUUUAUAUGGAAUUGUUAAAACUGUUUGUGGACCCCAAACUGAUAACGUCUA
rnacentral:lncRNA from 1 species